rnacentral:rRNA from 1 species
UCCUUGGAAUAGGAUGUCAUAGAGGGUGAGAACCCCGUACAUGCUAUGGACGCCCAGUGCUUUGUGAUACACUUUCGAAGAGUCGAGUUGUUUGGGAAUGCAGCUCAAAAUGGGUGGUAAAUUCCAUCUAAAGCUAAAUAUUGGGGAGAGACCGAUAGCAAACAAGUACCGUGAGGGAAAGAUGAAAAGCACUUUGGAAAGAGAGUUAAACAGUACGUGAAAUUGUCAAAAGGGAAGCGCUUCAAGUCAGAUAUGGCUUUGAAUGUUCAGCCUUUAGGUGUAUUCAUUUUUUGUCAGGCCAGCAUCGAUUUUGAACGUCGGAUAAGGGUAGAAAGAACGUAGCAUACUCUCGGGUAUGUGUUAUAGCUUUUUACUGGAUACGACGAUCGGGAUCGAGGUUCGCAGCACACCCUUUUUUGGGCAGGUCUUCGGACACUUUUUGUGCUUAGGAUGCUGGCGUAA